rnacentral:lncRNA from 1 species
CGCCUCAGCUUCCAAAGUUUUACGUCACUUCCGUUUUCCCCAACUUCCCGCCUUUUUGACCGUUAGUGCUCAGGACCUGUCAACCCCGCUCUGCCCGCCCUAUUCUCAGUCGACCAGGCGCUGCCUCCUCAGCCCCCAACAGGAGGAAUGGCCCCCAGGCCCUCAGUGUCACCCACCUUCCAGGUGAGCUCAGGGCCCAAGGGUCAUGGGGUAAACUGAGGUCCAAGCAGGAGGCGAGCAGAGGAGGGAACUCAUCAUGGGUCACCCAUAAUGGACACGAGGGAGACAGGUUCUGCUGAGUGUAACUAGCCAAAGAGGGGAAGAUGGCAAGACAUGCCAAGGCUGGAGGUUAGGAACAAAUUCCCAGUGAGAAGUGUUCAGGUUAAGUCGAGAAGCAUUUGUGAACACUUGCUCUGUAUCGGGCACUGUGUUAAGUGCCAAAGAUAGAAAGAAAAGCGAAAGCAGGCUCUCCUCUCAAGGAGCUCACAGGAUAAUAAGUGAGACAACAUGAAACAACCACAAACAAAUGAGAUACAUACAACCAGAGGGGAAAAAGAGACUUUAGCUGGUACUUGAAGGAAGCCAGGAGGCAGACAUGAGGAGGGAGAGACUUCCAUGCUUGGGGAACAGGCACUGAAAAAUGCUGGGAGAUGGUGUCCUUUCUGCAGAAUAGUAAGGAGGCCAGUGUAACUAGAUUACAGAUUGUGUAUUAGAAGUCCUUUAUUUCAUUAAACGCCCACUUUUUACCCCAUAGGAUUAUACUCAGUUUUGUGAGUAAGUUAUUCUUAGCUGUAAGCCUAUAUCUUUUGCCUUCCUGAAUAUUGUAUUCCAAGUUCUCUGUUCCUUGGUAGUAGUGGCUAUUAAAUCCUGUGUGACCCUGACUAGACUCCCUCAGAUCUUGAAUUUGUUCUUUCUGGCUGCUGGGGGUAUUCUUUCUUUGACUUAGAAGCUCCAGAUUUCAGAUAUGAUAUUCCUAGGAGUUUCCAUUUUGGGGGUUUCUUUCAUGAGGUCACCAGUAGAUUGUUUCUUCUUUAUCCUCUGGUUCUAAGAGAUUUGGGCAGUUUUCCUUUAUGAUUUCUUGUAAUACCACGACUAGGCUCUUAUUUUUUGGUCGUAGCUUUCAGGUAGUAUGAUGGUUCCUAAAUUAUCUCUCUUUGAUCUGUUUCUAGGUCAUUUUUUUUUUUGUUAGGCAGAUGGUGCACCACAGUCACCGAGUUCUGGACCUGGAGUCAGGAAGACAAGUCCAAAUUCAGCCUCCAGCUCUAUGACCCUGGACAAAUCACUUCACCUCACCUCUCA